ensembl:rRNA 5S_rRNA 5S ribosomal RNA
GCCCACAGCGGUACCACCCUGAUCACGCCAGCUCAGAUCUGAUCUCAGAGGCUAAGUAUUGUCAGGUCUGGUUAGCCCUUGGAUGGGAGACCACCAGAGAUACUGAUACGGUAGCCU